rnacentral:lncRNA from 10 species
GAGAGUCUGAGACUUCCAAUGGCUAUGUGGCAGUUUCCUUAGUGGGAAGACCCUGAAUGUAGAAGGAAUCGGCAGGGCACGGUGGCUCACGCCUGUAAUCGCAGCACUUUGGGAGACCAAAGCAGAUGAAUCACCUGAGGUCAAGAGUUCAAGACCAGCCUGGCCAACACGGUGAGACCCUGUCUCUACUAAAAAUACAAAAAUGAGCUGGGUGUGGUGGUGGGCACCCAUAAUCCCAGCUACUCAGGAGGCUGAGGCAGGAGAAUCGCUUGAACCGGAGGUUGUAGCGAGAUCAUGCCACUGCACUCCAGCCUGGGUGAGAGCAAGACACCGUCUCAAAAAAAAAAAAA